rnacentral:rRNA from 1 species
GUGGGAAACGAUGUGGGAAGGCACAGACAGCCAGGAUGUUGGCUUAGAAGCAGCCAUCAUUUAAAGAAAGCGUAAUAGCUCACUGGUCGAGUCGGCCUGCGCGGAAGAUGUAACGGGGCUAAACCAUGCACCGAAGCUGCGGCAGCGACACUAUGUGUUGUUGGGUAGGGGAGCGUUCUGUAAGCCUGCGAAGGUGACCUGUGAGGGUUGCUGGAGGUAUCAGAAGUGCGAAUGCUGACAUAAGUAACGAUAAAGCGGGUGAAAAGCCCGCUCGCCGGAAGACCAAGGGUUCCUGUCCAACGUUAAUCGGGGCAGGGUGAGUCGACCCCUAAGGCGAGGCCGAAAGGCGUAGUCGAUGGGAAACAGGUUAAUAUUCCUGUACUUGGUGUUACUGCGAAGGGGGGACGGAGAAGGCUAUGUUAGCCGGGCGACGGUUGUCCCGGUUUAAGCAUGUAGGCUGGUUAUCCAGGCAAAUCCGGAUAAUCAAGGCUGAGGUGUGAUGACGAGGCACUACGGUGCUGAAGUAACAAAUGCCCUGCUUCCAGGAAAAGCCUCUAAGCAUCAGGUAACAUCAAAUCGUACCCCAAACCGACACAGGUGGUCAGGUAGAGAAUACCAAGGCGCUUGAGAGAACUCGGGUGAAGGAACUAGGCAAAAUGGUGCCGUAACUUCGGGAGAAGGCACGCUGGUGUGUAGGUGAAG